rnacentral:rRNA from 1 species
CAGUCGCCGCGGUAAUACGGAGGGGGCUAGCGUUGUUCGGAAUUACUGGGCGUAAAGCGCACGUAGGCGGCUUGGUAAGUUAGAGGUGAAAGCCCGGAGCUCAACUCCGGAAUUGCCUUUAAGACUGCGGAGCUAGCAGGUGAGAGAGGUAAGUGGAAUUCCGAGUGUAGAGGUGAAAUUCGUAGAUAUUCGGAAGAAUACCAGUGGCGAAGGCGGCUUACUGGCUCAUACUGGACGCUGAGGUGCGAAAGCGUGGGGAGCAAACAGGAUUAGAUACCCCGGUAGUCCCUGUCUCUUAUCC